AUGGGUAUAUGCUCUUCAUUAGGAAUCGAAUUAACUUGAAUUGCAUCGGAAACGAGAAAUCUCGUGUUGUGAAAACGUUGAGAGCAGGAAAAAAUUAGACCGACAACGGUUAGCGGAAUAGUAUAUAACAGGUAACAUGCAUGUGUAGCUAGUGUAGUCGCAAAACUUGAUUAAAGGCGCACAGAAUUGUAACUACUGAAAAUGAAGCGCUUGAUUUUAAUCGCUGUUUGCGGCCUUCUCAUCUCUAAGCUUAUCAAAAAUUGCGAUGGAGUAGUAGCGGGAAAGGAAAAGCAAAUAUACGGAAAACGCAACAUGUUCAAAAGGGCUGAGGUAGCGGCGAGAGAAGCCUGUGAACGAGCUAAACAAAUGACGGACGUGUACAGACGAAGUUUCCUUGAAGACGACUCCGAACCAGUCUCCCCCAAUCAUAUCCGAUGAAUCAUGGACAAAAUAAAGCAGUUUAUGAUGAUAAAUAUGUAAACAUAAUAAAAUUCGUGAUGUAAUAUACACAAACGAAUAAUAUAGAGAAACAAACUAAAAAAAAAAAAUGUAAAGAUAAAGGAUAUGGAAAAUUAAAGUGGUUAACUUAUAAA